AUUGAACGCUGGCGGCAGGCCUAAUACAUGCAAGUCGAACGGUAACAUAAGAAAAGCUUGCUUUUCUUGAUGACGAGUGGCGGACGGGUGAGUAAGAUUUGGGAAACUACCUGAUAGAGGGGGACAACAGUUGGAAACGACUGCUAAUACCGCAUACAACCUCAGGGUGAAAGAAGAAAUUCGCUAUCAGAUGUGCCCAAACGGGAUUAGCUAGUAGGUGAGGUAAAGGCUCACCUAGGCGACGAUCUCUAGCUGGUCUGAGAGGAUGAUCAGCCACAUUGGGACUGAGACACGGCCCAGACUCCUACGGGAGGCAGCAGUAGGGAAUAUUGCACAAUGGAGGAAACUCUGAUGCAGCCAUGCCGCGUGUGUGAAGAAGGCCUUCGGGUUGUAAAGCACUUUCGGAGGGGAGGAAAAAAAUGACGUUACCCUCAGAAGAAGCACCGGCUAACUCCGUGCCAGCAGCCGCGGCAAUACGGAGGGUGCAAGCGUUAAUCGGAAUAACUGGGCGUAAAGGGCAUGCAGGCGGUUCAUCAAGUAGGAUGUGAAAUCCCCGGGCUCAACCUGGGAACAGCAUACUAAACUGGUGGACUAGAGUAUUGCAGGGGGAGACGGAAUUCCAGGUGUAGCGGUGGAAUGCGUAGAUAUCUGGAAGAACACCAAAGGCGAAGGCAGUCUCCUGGGCAAAUACUGACGCUCAUAUGCGAAAGGCGUGGGUAGCAAACAGG
rnacentral:rRNA from 1 species